rnacentral:rRNA from 1 species
AUUGAACGCUGGCGGCAUGCUUUACACAUGCAAGUCGAACGGUAACAGGCCUUCGGGUGCUGACGAGUGGCGCACGGGUGAGUAAUGCAUCGGAACGUGCCCAGGGUUGGGGGAUAACGCAGCGAAAGCUGUGCUCAUACCGCAUGUGAUCUGAGGAUGAGAGCGGGGGACCAGGCAGCAAUGUUUGGCCUCGCGCCUUUGGAGCUGCCGAUGUCAGAUUAGGUAGUUGGUGGGGUAAAGGCCUACCAAGCCGACGAUCUGUAGCUGGUCUGAGAGGACGACCAGCCACACUGGGACUGAGACACGGCCCAGACUCCUACGGGAGGCAGCAGUGGGGAAUUUUGGACAAUGGGCGCAAGCCUGAUCCAGCAAUGCCGCGUGCGGGAAGAAGGCCUUCGGGUUGUAAACCGCUUUUGUACGGAACGAAAAGGCUCUGGCUAAUACCUGGGGCUGAUGACGGUACCGUAAGAAUAAGCACCGGCUAACUACGUG